rnacentral:rRNA from 1 species
GAUGAACGCUGGCGGCGUGCUUAACACAUGCUAGUCGAACGAGAAGUGAAGACGGAAACCUUCGGGCGGAAGGCUUUAUUUCGAGUGGCGGACGGGUGAGUAACGCGUGGGUAACCUGCCUCAUACAGGGGGAUAACAGUUGGAAACGACUGUUAAUACCGCAUAAGACCACAGCACCGCAUGGUGCGGGGGUAAAAACUCCGGUGGUAUGAGAUGGACCCGCGUUCGAUUAGCCAGUUGGCGGGGUAACGGCCCACCAAAGCGACGAUCGAUAGCCGAUCUGAGAGGAUGACCGGCCACAUUGGGACUGAGACACGGCCCAAACUCCUACGGGAGGCAGCAGUGGGGAAUAUUGCACAAUGGGGGAAACCCUGAUGCAGCGACGCCGCGUGAGUGAAGAAGUAUUUCGGUAUGUAAAGCUCUAUCAGCAGGGAAGAAAAUGACGGUACCUGAGUAAGAAGCCCCGGCUAACUACGUG